UACAGAGGGUGCAAGCGUUGUUCGGAAUUAUUGGGCGUAAAGGGCGUGUAGGCGGUUUGCUAAGUCUUCUGUGAAAUCUACGGGCUUAGCCUGUAAAGUGCAGAGGAAACUGGCAGACUUGAGUGUCGGAGAGGGCAGGGGAAUACCCAGUGUAGAGGUGAAAUUCGUAGAGAUUGGGUGGAACACCAGUGGCGAAGGCGCCUGCCUGGCUGACAACUGACGCUGAGACUCGAAAGCAUGGGGAGCAAACAGG
rnacentral:rRNA from 1 species